AGAGUUUGAUCCUGGCUCAGGAUGAACGCUGGCGGCGUGCUUAACACAUGCAAGUCGAACGUGAACUUGACUUCGGUCAGGUGAAAGUGGCAAACGGGUGAGUAACACGUUGGUGACCUGCCCCAAAGCGGGGGAUAACCCUGGGAAACCAGGGCUAAAACCGCAGAUGUUGAAGUUAUUAGAAGACUUCAACUAAAAUGAUUAGUGCUUUGGGAGGGGCCUGCGGGCUAUCAGCUAGUUGGUGGGGUAAAAGCCUACCAAGGCGAAGACGGCUAGGGGGCGUGGGAGCGCGACCCCCCACAAGGGAACUGAGACACGGUCCCUACUCCUACGGGAGGCAGCAGUGAGGAAUAUUGCCCAAUGGAGGAAACUCUGAGGCAGCAACGCCGCAUGAACGAGGAAGGCCUUCGGGUUGUAAAGUUCUUUUCUGCGGGAAGAUGAUGACGUACCGCAGAAUAGCCAGCC
rnacentral:rRNA from 1 species